rnacentral:rRNA from 1 species
UGGGGAAUAUUGGACAAUGGGCGCAAGCCUGAUCCAGCCAUGCCGCGUGAGUGAUGAAGGCCCUAGGGUUGUAAAGCUCUUUCACCGGUGAAGAUAAUGACGGUAACCGGAGAAGAAGCCCCGGCUAACUUCGUGCCAGCAGCCGCGGUAAUACGAAGGGGGCUAGCGUCGUUCGGAUUUACUGGGCGUAAAGAGCACGUAGGCGGACUUUUAAGUCAGGGGUGAAAUCCCGGGGCUCAACCCCGGAACUGCCUUUGAUACUGGAAGUCAUGAGUAUGGUAGAGGUGAGUGGAAUUCCGAGUGUAGAGGUGAAAUUCGUAGAUAUUCGAGGGAACACCAGUGGCGAAGACGGCUGACUGGACCAUUAAUGACGCUGAGAUGCGCAAGCGUGGGGAGCAAGCAGG